GGUUAAGCGACUAAGCGUACACGGUGGAUGCCCUGGCAGUCAGAGGCGAUGAAGGACGUGCUAAUCUGCGAUAAGCGUCGGUGAGGUGAUAUGAACCGUUAUAACCGGCGAUUUCCGAAUGGGGAAACCCAGUGUGUUUCGACACACUAUCAUUAACUGAAUCCAUAGGUUAAUGAGGCGAACCGGGGGAACUGAAACAUCUAAGUACCCCGAGGAAAAGAAAUCAACCGAGAUUCCCCCAGUAGCGGCGAGCGAACGGGGAGGAGCCCAGAGCCUGAAUCAGUGUGUGUGUUAGUGGAAGCGUCUGGAAAGGCGCGCGAUACAGGGUGACAGCCCCGUACACAAAAAUGCACAUAUUGUGAGCUCGAUGAGUAGGGCGGGACACGUGGUAUCCUGUCUGAAUAUGGGGGGACCAUCCUCCAAGGCUAAAUACUCCUGACUGACCGAUAGUGAACCAGUACCGUGAGGGAAAGGCGAAAAGAACCCCGGCGAGGGGAGUGAAAAAGAACCUGAAACCGUGUACGUACAAGCAGUGGGAGCCUCUUAAUGGGGUGACUGCGUACCUUUUGUAUAAUGGGUCAGCGACUUAUAUUCUGUAGCAAGGUUAACCGAAUAGGGGAGCCGAAGGGAAACCGAGUCUUAACUGGGCGUUAAGUUGCAGGGUAUAGACCCGAAACCCGGUGAUCUAGCCAUGGGCAGGUUGAAGGUUGGGUAACACUAACUGGAGGACCGAACCGACUAAUGUUGAAAAAUUAGCGGAUGACUUGUGGCUGGGGGUGAAAGGCCAAUCAAACCGGGAGAUAGCUGGUUCUCCCCGAAAGCUAUUUAGGUAGCGCCUCGUGAAUUCAUCUCCGGGGGUAGAGCACUGUUUCGGCAAGGGGGUCAUCCCGACUUACCAACCCGAUGCAAACUGCGAAUACCGGAGAAUGUUAUCACGGGAGACACACGGCGGGUGCUAACGUCCGUCGUGAAGAGGGAAACAACCCAGACCGCCAGCUAAGGUCCCAAAGUCAUGGUUAAGUGGGAAACGAUGUGGGAAGGCCCAGACAGCCAGGAUGUUGGCUUAGAAGCAGCCAUCAUUUAAAGAAAGCGUAAUAGCUCACUGGUCGAGUCGGCCUGCGCGGAAGAUGUAACGGGGCUAAACCAUGCACCGAAGCUGCGGCAGCGACACUAUGUGUUGUUGGGUAGGGGAGCGUUCUGUAAGCCUGUGAAGGUGGCCUGUGAGGGUUGCUGGAGGUAUCAGAAGUGCGAAUGCUGACAUAAGUAACGAUAAAGCGGGUGAAAAGCCCGCUCGCCGGAAGACCAAGGGUUCCUGUCCAACGUUAAUCGGGGCAGGGUGAGUCGACCCCUAAGGCGAGGCCGAAAGGCGUAGUCGAUGGGAAACAGGUUAAUAUUCCUGUACUUGGUGUUACUGCGAAGGGGGGACGGAGAAGGCUAUGUUGGCCGGGCGAC
rnacentral:rRNA from 1 species